UCUUUUGUCAGCUUUUGGAUUCA
rnacentral:miRNA from 1 species